ACACCUCAACUCUCAUGGUUUGCCGUGAUGAGCUUGGACUUUGGGGGUCUUGCUGGCCUACGGUCAGCUCCCCUAAAAUGAAUCAGCUUGCCAGUGUUUGGUGGGAUCACAGGUGUGAUAACUAUCUACGCUUGUGGCCUUCCACCAAUUAACUUCCAGCAAUGGAGGUUCGCUGGAGCUCAUAAACGUCUCUCCUCAGCGAGGACAGCUCUUUUGAAU
rnacentral:misc_RNA from 1 species